UACGAAGGGGGCUAGCGUUGCUCGGAAUCACUGGGCGUAAAGAGCGUGUAGGCGGCCAGGUAGGUCCGUUGUGAAAACUGGAGGCUUAACCUCCAGCUGUCGAUGGAAACCAUCUGGCUAGAGUCCGGAAGAGGAGAGUGGAAUUCCUGGUGUAGCGGUGAAAUGCGCAGAUAUCAGGAAGAACACCCGUGGCGAAGGCGGCUCUCUGGGACGGUACUGACGCUGAGACGCGAAAGCGUGGGGAGCGAACAGG
rnacentral:rRNA from 1 species